UUUCCUUCACGGGCGCCCUCCGGAGCUGGGGCUCAGCUCCUCUAUUUAGCCAGACUCUGGUGUCACGACUUCAUGACACUGAAGUGCCAACAUGUUGCCUGGGCAUCCUGGCAGGGCAAUGGCGGCAAAGCAGUCAGCAUCGAUGAUGUCAUUCCGACACGUGAACUCGCUGCGUCAGUAAGUGAUGGCGUCAGACCAGAAUGUGAUGUCGACGCAACCGUCUGAUGAUGUCAUAUCAAAAUAUGAUGUCAGCACCACAAAGCAUGAUGAUGUCACGUCGAGCCCGCUGCAAAGUGAUAAUGGCCACUUCAGAAUGUUCCGAUGGCACAUGCAAAAGUUACAGAGUCACAUGCAAUGUCUCUUUGAAACCGCUUUGUAAGUUGGAGAUGCUGUACUGAGGCAAGGUGGUGCAGUGCUGAAAUGGGAUGUUGAAUGGAAUGUUGCGUUGUCAUGAAAAACAUCAUGUCACACUGAUCGUUUCUGCAGCCCAAGUGUUCUGUCAGGAUGUGUCAGUGGAUCAGGGCCUGAAUCUUCUCUCCUCAUUGCAAAAGCUGUCAUAGAGCUGGCAUUUUCUGCUCAGCAGGGAUCCACUAUGGACAUAGCAGAAGGGCUGAAGGUCAAGAUAAAGCGCCACCCCGGUGUCCCUCCUCUCGUUCUCCGCCUGCAAGCACAGCACUCCAGAGAGCGAAGGCAGGAGGGGAAGUUAGCCAAAUAAAGCAGGCAGAAGGCUUCCUGUGCUUCCCUUCCUCAGAGGCCUGAUGCUGAGCGGAGAUCGCCAUUGCCUGGGAUGCCAUGAGCUCUGCAGGUCAAAGCAGGAAGGCAGCUUAAACAAACAGAGUGGGAACCUGCUCCCCAAACAGAGAGAAUCGUUUAUUUACACAGACGGGUCUUGAAACCAACAAGUGUCCUGUUGCAUUUAUUAAAGGAGAACCCUCCAAUUACUCCUGAAUUCCCUCACCAAAGGCUCCUUAGCAAAGCAAGUGCGAUGUACGGACCCCCUUAAAUGGAGCAGAGUGUCCCGGUGCCGGUCCUUUAGCGAGAGGGGCAGCGUGGCUAGAGCAGGUUAGAGACACAAAUGAAAUGAUGCAGAAACCGCCUCAAGUUUUGUUUUUUGGUUGGUUGGUUUUCUCAGCUGGAAACUCCACGCUGUGAUUUUAGAGCGAAAGGGUCUCCGUCCCCAGGAGCGUGGAGGCGCCCGUCUGCCAGCCUGCGAUGCUGUCCCAGGAGGUGUGCGUCCUGUAUCUGAGACGUCACAUAGCGGUUGCUGAGCGCCUCUGACCACUACGCCAUACUGCUCAUCCACAUGGGCAGUGAUGAUACUGUCAGGUCUGACCCUGAGCAGAUCAGCAGAGACUCCAGGGCUCUGGGAAUGAGGGUGAUGGGACCAGGGGCUCAGGUUCUGUUCUCAUGCAUCCUUCGGGUGGAGGGUAAGGGCCAGGCAGGGAUGGGCAUCCUGGAGAUGAAUACAUAGCUGCACAGGUGGUAUCAGUGGGGGGACGUUGGCUUCCUCGACCAUGGGAUACUGUCCUGGUAAGGAGGACUCUGGGUAGAGACGGGGUCCACCCCAUCAAGAAGAGGAAGAACAUCUUCAUGCACCAACUCACCAACCUAGUGAGGAGGGCUUUAAACUAGGUUCAAAGGGGGGCCCAGGAAAGCAUAGAAAAGACAACCUGAACAGAAAGCGAGAUGUUGGGAGGACAUGGGAAAGUACAGUCUGGUCGUAGGAAAAAGAAGAGGGAACUCAGUAGGGUAAUCUGCUCAACAUUUUCCGUGUCUACACACAAAUGGGGAUUAAACAGGCAGAACUGGAAGGAUGAGUCCCGAAGCUAAAUGAUGACUCGGUGGGAUAAAUCUCAGGACUAGGAUAUUGGCAUAGAUGGAUAGAACUUGUUCAGGAAGGACUGGCAGGGUAAAAAGUGAGCAGAUGCUGCAUUAUACAUCAAGAAUAUAUACACUUGCUCUGAGCUCCACAAGGACGUGAGAGACAGACCAGUUGAAAGUUUCUGGGUAAAGCUAAAAGGGGAAACACAGAGGUGACGUCAUGGUAAAGGUCUACUGCAGACUAUCAAAUCAGGAAGUGAAGGUGGAUGAGGCUUUUCUAGAGCAAGUAACAGAAAUAUCCAAAACACAAGCCCAGGGUGGGGGCUUUAACUACCCAGACAUCUGCUGGAAGAGUAAUAUGGCAAGACACACAAUGCCCCAUAGCUCUUGGAAUGCACUGGGGGAGGUAGUGACCAGGGGAACAGCCAUCUGAGAUUUGAUUCUGACCAACGGGGAGAAACUGGUUGAGAACCUGAAGAAGGACGACAACCUGGGUGAAAGCCGUCAUUAAAUGAUAGAUUUCAAGAUUUUAAGGAGGAAGGAGUGAGGGCAGCAAAAUAAGGACAACAGACGUCAACAGGCUUGGAGAACGGGUAGAUAAGGUCCCAUGGGACGAAAACCUAAGGGAAAAAGGAGUUCAGGUGUGCUGGUGGUUUCUCAAGAUGGCAAUAUUAGAGGCACAACUGGAAAGUAUUCCGAUGCGAAGGAAAGAUAGGAAGAAUAGUGAGGCCAAUAUGGCUCCAUCAGGAGCUCUUUAAUGACUUGAAAACCAAAAAGGAAUCCUACAAAAAGUGAAAACAUGGACACAUUGCUAAGGAGGCGUAAUUAGGGACAAAAUCAGAAAGGCUAAGGCACAAAAUGAGUUGCACCUAGCA